CUGGAUUUGAACUCCUGGACUCAAGCAAUUCUCUUGCCUCAGUCGCCAAAGUAGCUGGAACUACAGGCAUAUGCCAAUGUGCCUGGCUAUCUAGUGAUGAUUUUAACAUCAACCAAUGAGAAUUAGGUUACAUCUCCCCAAUUUGCAAGCUGUUCAUGGAAAUAAAGUCUUUCUCAACCUAAUAUUUCUUUCUCAGUAGUUUUGUUAACAUUUCUUGGUGUCAGAAGAGGGAACUGAAGCAAUCCUUGAUCCUCCUAUCGAUGCCAUUCUGAACCCAUGCAUUGGUACCUGUAAGAGCCCCUUGAACUCAGUUGUCUUCCUGGUGGCACCAGGAGAUCUCAGGAGACGAAGAACAUCCUUUUAACUUCAGACCUGGAGACUUUGUGUAUUGGAAAAGACAUCAGCUUAAGAAUUCCCUCCAGCCUUUCUGGAAGGGACCAGGUAAAUGGCUCUAGUUGCUCAACUAACCACUGCCCUGCCAUGAGGAUCCCAGUGUGGGACUAGAUGGGCCCAGAGAAGGAAGCCGACCACUCUGGCACCAUGAUGGGACAUAACCCACCACCAAUCACCAGAGCUGUCUGAUGACAGGUUUUGAUCAAAAGCAGGAACUGUCUACUUUGAAAAAGCCAGUUCUUCAAGAUUGAUCGUGAAUGAUUAACUGAGCCUAAAUUCAAAUGGACCCAAGCGGCCAUUUACUGACUAAAGGUUAAACAUGUACUCUGUACUCCUGGAAAAACCACACACUCCAUAACUUUGGGACACUCAUAUCUGUCCCUUUUUAUGCUGCCUGAAUCAAUGGCUGCCAACACCUGGACCCAACCAAUAAACUAUAACCUCUGGUCAAUCUUAACAUCAACCAGUAAGAACUAAGCAAGUUUGCAACCCUCAUUUGCAUAGCAUACUGGAGUGGAAGCCUGGGAAAAAACUUUUUCUAUAAAGGACAACCCCUUUCUUUGUUCCAGUUGAGUGUACCUUUGUUGUAUUGGAGGCUGCAUCUCCCUGGUUUGCAAACUGCUCACAGAAAUAAAGUGUCUCUUAAUCUAAUG
rnacentral:lncRNA from 1 species